AAGUCCCGUAACGAGCGCAACCCUUGUCCUUAGUUACCAGCACGUUAUGGUGGGCACUCUAAGGAGACUGCCGGUGACAAACCGGAGGAAGGUGGGGAUGACGUCAAGUCAUCAUGGCCCUUACGGCCUGGGCUACACACGUGCUACAAUGGUCGGUACAGAGGGUUGCCAAGCCGCGAGGUGGAGCUAAUCCCAGAAAACCGAUCGUAGUCCGGAUCGCAGUCUGCAACUCGACUGCGUGAAGUCGGAAUCGCUAGUAAUCGCGAAUCAGAAUGUCGCGGUGAAUACGUUCCCGGGCCUUGUACACACCGCCCGU
rnacentral:rRNA from 1 species